rnacentral:rRNA from 1 species
CUACGGGUGGCAGCAGUGGGGAAUAUUGCACAAUGGGGGAAACCCUGAUGCAGCAACGCCGCGUGGAGGAUGACGCAUUUCGGUGUGUAAACUCCUUUUAUAUCCCAAGAUAAUGACGGUAGGAUAUGAAUAAGCACCGGCUAACUCCGUGCCAGCAGCCGCGGUAAUACGGAGGGUGCAAGCGUUACUCGGAAUCACUGGGCGUAAAGGAUGCGUAGGCUGGAAAUCAAGUCAGGAGUGAAAUCCAACGGCUCAACCGUUGAACUGCUUCUGAAACUGGUUAUCUAGAAUAUGGGAGAGGUAGAUGGAAUUAGUGGUGUAGGGGUAAAAUCCGUAGAGAUCACUAGGAAUACCGAUUGCGAAGGCGAUCUACUGGAACAUAAUUGACGCUGAGGCAUGAAAGCGUGGGGAGCAAACAGGAUUAGAUACCCUCGUAGUC